GGGGUGAUAGCACAAUUGGUAGUGCGUCAGAUUCCAGAUCUGAAGGUUUAGUGUUCGAGUCACUAUCGCCUCA